rnacentral:rRNA from 1 species
UACGUAGGUGACAAGCGUUGUCCGGAUUUACUGGGCGUAAAGAGCGCGCAGGCGGUCGUUCAAGUCGCGUGUGAAAGCCCCCGGCUCAACUGGGGAGGGUCACGCGAUACUGAUCGACUCGAAGGCAGGAGAGGGUAGUGGAAUUCCCGGUGUAGUGGUGAAAUGCGUAGAGAUCAGGAAGAACACCGGUGGCGAAAGCGCUCUGCUGGACCUUAACUGACACUGAGGGACGAAAGCUAGGGGAGCGAAUGGG